rnacentral:rRNA from 1 species
UCAAGAAACUUCCACAAUGGGCGAAAGCCUGAUGGAGCGACGUCGCGUGAUGGACGAAGUGCUUCGGCACGUAAACAUCUUUUAUGUGGGAUGAAAUUAUUGACAGUACCACAUGAAUAAGGGGCUCCUAACUCUGUGCCAGCAGGAGCGGUAAUACAGAGGGGGCAAGCGUUGUUCGGAAUUACUGGGCGUAAAGCGCGCGUAGGCGGUCGUAUAAGUCGGAUGUGAAAGCCCUUGGCUCAACCAAGGAACUGCGUCCGAUACUGUACGGCUUGAGGCUGGGUAGGGGUAGCGGAAUUCCCGGUGUAGCGGUGGAAUGCGUAGAUAUCGGGAGGAACACCGAUGGCGAAAGCGGCUACCUGGGCCAGAUCUGACGCUGAGGCGCGAAAGCUAGGGGAGCAAACAGGAUUAGAUACCCAGGUAGUCCCUGAGCGGGCUGGCAAGGCGCAU